AGUUUUGUAAUGUGUCGCUACAAAACAAGCGAGUGGGAGCCCAGCCCUGCUCCAGCUCCUCGUACUAACUACUGGCAGGCUGAUCAUUGACCAGUGGAGCUACCGAGGCCUCUGGAUAUCAUUGCUCCCUGCACCGCGGGAGCCUGCAGUCAUUGGUAGUCGUUGGUUCUGCUGUGAAGUAGCCGCUGCCUCUCUCUCAGUCCACAUGACGGAAUUCAUUGGCAGGCAGGGGCACUGUCUGUAAACUCCUCCAAGACUUGAUUGCACAACCGUCUGCAAUCUGUCGGAUUGGCAUUCUCCGAUUUGCAGCAGACUCGUCAGAAAUUUAAAGAUUUUGCUGGGAGCUUGUUGGAAAAGUUUGGCAAAAGUUUGAUCUGGCCGCAGUUAAACCUUGAAGUGAUUUCAGGCACAGUGACCAGGGAAAGCUCGGCUGCUGUUAUAAAGGAGUGUUUACUUCUUACUGCAGUGGGUACUGCUAGUCAUCAGUGCUAGAUGCCAAAUUUGACGAUGAACACUAGUGAGACAGAUGUGCAGUACAGUCGGUGGAAUGACAACGCCCAGGAACAGGUCACCAUAAGCGUUCCUCCAAUUGAAGCCUCGAGCUGUAGAAGGAUAUACAAUAAAUUGUGCACUGGCAAAGUUGGCAUUGUAAUGAAAGCCUUCGGUGGAGUGGCAACGUUCUUGAUCAUCUUCAUCACUGGAUACGUCACGGGUUACUAUGUGCACAAGUGUAAAUAGGCAGAGUGGAAGCAUGAAACUACUGCACGCCCACAGUUGUAUCAAGAAUGCAUCACAUAAUCCUACCUUCCUCGGCUCUGAGCUCUGCAGCUGCUGCUUGAAUCCAGUUUUAAUUCUUUUUCUACCAGUUAAAGAGCACAAUUACAGAAG